CUAAAACGUUGCUUCGGCGGGAACAGACGGCCCUGUAACAACGGGCCGCCCCCGCCAGAGGACCCCUAACUCUGUUUUUAUAAUGUUUUUCUGAGUAAACAAGCAAAUAAAUUAAAACUUUCAACAACGGAUCUCUUGGCUCUGGCAUCGAUGAAGAACGCAGCGAAAUGCGAUAAGUAAUGUGAAUUGCAGAAUUCAGUGAAUCAUCGAAUCUUUGAACGCACAUUGCGCCCGCCAGUAUUCUGGCGGGCAUGCCUGUUCGAGCGUCAUUACAACCCUCAGGCCCCCGGGCCUGGCGUUGGGGAUCGGCAGAAGCCCCCUGUGGGCACACGCCGUCCCUCAAAUACAGUGGCGGUCCCGCCGCAGCUUCCAUUGCGUAGUAGCUAACACCUCGCAACUGGAGAGCGGCGCGGCCAUGCCGUAAAACACCCAACUUCUGAAUGUUGACCUCGAAUCAGGUAGGAAUACCCGCUGAACUUAAGCAUAUCA
rnacentral:rRNA from 1 species